UCCCUGGUGGCUCAGAGAUAAGCGUCUGCCUGCAAUGCGGGAGACCCAGGUUCGAUCCCUGGGUUGGGAA
rnacentral:tRNA from 1 species